GCGGGAGUGGCGAAAUUGGUAGACGCACCAGAUUUAGGUUCUGGCGCCGUAAGGUGUGCGAGUUCAAGUCUCGCCUCCCGCA
rnacentral:tRNA from 1 species